GGUUAAGCGACUAAGCGUACACGGUGGAUGCCCUGGCAGUCAGAGGCGAUGAAGGACGUGCUAAUCUGCGAUAAGCGUCGGUAAGGUGAUAUGAACCGUUAUAACCGGCGAUUUCCGAAUGGGGAAACCCAGUGUGAUUCGUCACACUAUCAUUAACUGAAUCCAUAGGUUAAUGAGGCGAACCGGGGGAACUGAAACAUCUAAGUACCCCGAGGAAAAGAAAUCAACCGAGAUUCCCCCAGUAGCGGCGAGCGAACGGGGAGCAGCCCAGAGCCUGAAUCAGUGUGUGUGUUAGUGGAAGCGUCUGGAAAGGCGCGCGAUACAGGGUGACAGCCCCGUACACAAAAAUGCACAUGCUGUGAGCUCGAUGAGUAGGGCGGGACACGUGGUAUCCUGUCUGAAUAUGGGGGGACCAUCCUCCAAGGCUAAAUACUCCUGACUGACCGAUAGUGAACCAGUACCGUGAGGGAAAGGCGAAAAGAACCCCGGCGAGGGGAGUGAAAAAGAACCUGAAACCGUGUACGUACAAGCAGUGGGAGCACGCUUAGGCGUGUGACUGCGUACCUUUUGUAUAAUGGGUCAGCGACUUAUAUUCUGUAGCAAGGUUAACCGAAUAGGGGAGCCGAAGGGAAACCGAGUCUUAACUGGGCGUUAAGUUGCAGGGUAUAGACCCGAAACCCGGUGAUCUAGCCAUGGGCAGGUUGAAGGUUGGGUAACACUAACUGGAGGACCGAACCGACUAAUGUUGAAAAAUUAGCGGAUGACUUGUGGCUGGGGGUGAAAGGCCAAUCAAACCGGGAGAUAGCUGGUUCUCCCCGAAAGCUAUUUAGGUAGCGCCUCGUGAAUUCAUCUCCGGGGGUAGAGCACUGUUUCGGCAAGGGGGUCAUCCCGACUUACCAACCCGAUGCAAACUGCGAAUACCGGAGAAUGUUAUCACGGGAGACACACGGCGGGUGCUAACGUCCGUCGUGAAGAGGGAAACAACCCAGACCGCCAGCUAAGGUCCCAAAGUCAUGGUUAAGUGGGAAACGAUGUGGGAAGGCCCAGACAGCCAGGAUGUUGGCUUAGAAGCAGCCAUCAUUUAAAGAAAGCGUAAUAGCUCACUGGUCGAGUCGGCCUGCGCGGAAGAUGUAACGGGGCUAAACCAUGCACCGAAGCUGCGGCAGCGACGCUUAUGCGUUGUUGGGUAGGGGAGCGUUCUGUAAGCCUGCGAAGGUGUGCUGUGAGGCAUGCUGGAGGUAUCAGAAGUGCGAAUGCUGACAUAAGUAACGAUAAAGCGGGUGAAAAGCCCGCUCGCCGGAAGACCAAGGGUUCCUGUCCAACGUUAAUCGGGGCAGGGUGAGUCGACCCCUAAGGCGAGGCCGAAAGGCGUAGUCGAUGGGAAACAGGUUAAUAUUCCUGUACUUGGUGUUACUGCGAAGGGGGGACGGAGAAGGCUAUGUUGGCCGGGCGACGGUUGUCCCGGUUUAAGCGUGUAGGCUGGUUUUCCAGGCAAAUCCGGAAAACUAAGGCUGAGGCGUGAUGACGAGGCACUACGGUGCUGAAGCAACAAAUGCCCUGCUUCCAGGAAAAGCCUCUAAGCAUCAGGUAACAUCAAAUCGUACCCCAAACCGACACAGGUGGUCAGGUAGAGAAUACCAAGGCGCUUGAGAGAACUCGGGUGAAGGAACUAGGCAAAAUGGUGCCGUAACUUCGGGAGAAGGCACGCUGAUAUGUAGGUGAAGCGACUUGCUCGUGGAGCUGAAAUCAGUCGAAGAUACCAGCUGGCUGCAACUGUUUAUUAAAAACACAGCACUGUGCAAACACGAAAGUGGACGUAUACGGUGUGACGCCUGCCCGGUGCCGGAAGGUUAAUUGAUGGGGUCAGCGCAAGCGAAGCUCUUGAUCGAAGCCCCGGUAAACGGCGGCCGUAACUAUAACGGUCCUAAGGUAGCGAAAUUCCUUGUCGGGUAAGUUCCGACCUGCACGAAUGGCGUAAUGAUGGCCAGGCUGUCUCCACCCGAGACUCAGUGAAAUUGAACUCGCUGUGAAGAUGCAGUGUACCCGCGGCAAGACGGAAAGACCCCGUGAACCUUUACUAUAGCUUGACACUGAACAUUGAGCCUUGAUGUGUAGGAUAGGUGGGAGGCUUUGAAGUGUGGACGCCAGUCUGCAUGGAGCCGACCUUGAAAUACCACCCUUUAAUGUUUGAUGUUCUAACGUGGACCCGUGAUCCGGGUUGCGGACAGUGUCUGGUGGGUAGUUUGACUGGGGCGGUCUCCUCCUAAAGAGUAACGGAGGAGCACGAAGGUUGGCUAAUCCUGGUCGGACAUCAGGAGGUUAGUGCAAUGGCAUAAGCCAGCUUGACUGCGAGCGUGACGGCGCGAGCAGGUGCGAAAGCAGGUCAUAGUGAUCCGGUGGUUCUGAAUGGAAGGGCCAUCGCUCAACGGAUAAAAGGUACUCCGGGGAUAACAGGCUGAUACCGCCCAAGAGUUCAUAUCGACGGCGGUGUUUGGCACCUCGAUGUCGGCUCAUCACAUCCUGGGGCUGAAGUAGGUCCCAAGGGUAUGGCUGUUCGCCAUUUAAAGUGGUACGCGAGCUGGGUUUAGAACGUCGUGAGACAGUUCGGUCCCUAUCUGCCGUGGGCGCUGGAGAAUUGAGGGGGGCUGCUCCUAGUACGAGAGGACCGGAGUGGACGCAUCACUGGUGUUCGGGUUGUCAUGCCAAUGGCACUGCCCGGUAGCUAAAUGCGGAAGAGAUAAGUGCUGAAAGCAUCUAAGCACGAAACUUGCCCCGAGAUGAGUUCUCCCUGACUCCUUGAGAGUCCUGAAGGAACGUUGAAGACGACGACGUUGAUAGGCCGGGUGUGUAAGCGCAGCGAUGCGUUGAGCUAACCGGUACUAAUGAACCGUGAGGCUUAACCUU
rnacentral:rRNA from 1 species